AGUCUUUUGGCAGCAUUAUCUUCCUCUCCUGUUUAGAUUUAGGGUUCCUCCAUCAAAGCACUACAGACGUUAUACUCUUUCUACUUCUCAAAUUAGAUCCAUAAACUGUUUAUCUUCUUCUAUUUAUAUAUCUAUGACGCCCUCCCACUUGGUUGGAUUUCUCAGUUCAUCGUAUCUCACGUCCUCAGCUUCUGGGAUUCGCUUAACAUGAAGAAAAACGGUUAAUUUAUGAGAAUCACCUUCUUCUUCCUUGAUGAAAAGGUAUCGUACUCUUUAAUCUCUCACGAAUCACAUAGUCCAAACCUGUGUCAUGAAGCCUCAAAAUCAUGUCUGGUUUUACUGUUCUGUCUUCAUACCAAUUAGACUAGGAAACACUCUUGCUUCGGCCACUAUUCGGCCACUAUUUCUGCCAUCAAAGAGUUCAUAAGCAGGUGGCAAUACAUACUGUCUUGGCUUAAACUCAUCUCCAAAGAUACCAUAGAAGGGAUCAAAAAGAAAUAGCUUGUGUCAAUUGGAGAACUAAAUAUGUACAUAAACUCUAACGACCAGACACAUGUAGCUGGUUUUAUUUGGGUCCUCCAAGAUAAUGGAUGGUCAUCUGUCGCUUGCACCGGAUGCAGCAGGAAGUUGGACAGAUCCGGCACUUUCCUUUGGUGCAACAGAUGUUCUUCUCCCAACGUUACGGGGUUAUCAGGUUAUGUGUUGAACUAGAGGUUGCUGACGUCAACGACAGUGCCACGUUUAUGGUCUUCGACAAGGAUAUGACUAAGAUAACCAAGAAAGAUAGCUACUCUGGCUCUUGAGCAGGCCUCAAACGUACUACAUAUGAAUGGCGGUGGAGGGCAUGAGCUACCCAUCUGCUUUGAAAGAGCUAGCUGGAAAGGACUACGUUUUCCAGAUUCGUUUCACUCCAUACAUCACCCUCAACCACAGUACAUUCACCGUUCUGCAGUUAGUGAUGAUAGCUUCUUUCUCACUUAGGCAGAAGUGGAGCUAUAUAAGUAUUCCAACACUAACUUUUUUCGUAAUUUAAAAUAACACAUGCAACUAUGCUUCAGAUUAGCAGCAACAAUCAAUCUCCAGUCAUUUACGUGGAAUGUGGGCAAGCGCCAGAUGCGGUUGAAGCGGCUAAGAUUGCAAAUGAAGCUGAUUAAGCAAAACUUCUCGGCUCUGAAGGCAAAGAAAAAAAAGGCAAACUCCCCCGUUAGUGAUAGUUUCAAGACCAUCAAACCGUCAACCUUCAUUUCUUGUCUUUUUAUAGAUGUUAAAUUCCUAUUUUUUUCCUAUUUGAAUUUGGGUUGUUUUUCUAUUGUCUACAAACUCCCUCUCCUAAGGAGAAGAAUAACCUUGGUUUAAACUAAAUGCAUCAGUACA